AAGUCGUAACAAGGUCUCCGUAGGUGAACCUGCGGAGGGAUCAUUAACACGUACGGAUAACAAAGUAGAGUGGUAUAUAUGUACUAUAUAUAUGUACUUGCCCUACUUUAUUAUUUAUACCAACUCGUGAACGAAACUGUAUGCCUCUCUCCUUAGCGCUGUUACUAACGUAACAUUGCUAAGCUAUGUUUUUUAUUGUUUUGUUUAUUAUACAAACCAACGUCUCAAUUGUAACUAACUAACAUAACAAUGCACACAUGUAACAAUGUGUGUGAUGCUUAUGUACCAGUUAAAAUUAACAUUUUAAGCACAACUCUUAGCAACGGAUAUCUCGGUUCUC
rnacentral:misc_RNA from 1 species